rnacentral:rRNA from 1 species
GACGAACGCUGGCGGCGUGCCUAAUACAUGCAAGUAGAACGCUGAAGAGAGGAGCUUGCUCUUCUUGGAUGAGUUGCGAACGGGUGAGUAACGCGUAGGUAACCUGCCUUGUAGCGGGGGAUAACUAUUGGAAACGAUAGCUAAUACCGCAUAACAAUGGAUGACACAUGUCAUUUAUUUGAAAGGGGCAAUUGUUCCACUACAAGAUGGACCUGCGUUGUAUUAGCUAGUAGGUGAGGUAAUGGCUCACCUAGGCGACGAUACAUAGCCGACCUGGGAGGGUGAUCGGCCACACUGGGACUGAGACACGGCCCAGACUCCUACGGGAGGCAGCAGUAGGGAAUCUUCGGCAAUGGGGGCAACCCUGACCGAGCAACGCCGCGUGAGUGAAGAAGGUUUUCGGAUCGUAAAGCUCUGUUGUAAGUCAAGAACGGGUGUGAGAGUGGAAAGUUCACACUGUGACGGUAGCUUACCAGAAAGGGACGGCUAACUACGU